UGAUGUUUAAUUGUAGUGUUUUCUGUGUUCAAGAUUAUAGAGUGAAAAUAAAGAAAUGCAUCCCCCAAACAGCUCACAAGGAAUGACUAAAUCAGAGUUGUAGUCU